rnacentral:rRNA from 1 species
CCUACGGGAGGCAGCAGUGAGGAAUAUUGGUCAAUGGCCGGAAGGCUGAACCAGCCAUGCCGCGUGAAGGUCAGUGCCCUAUGGGCGUUAAACUUCUUUUGUGCGGGAGCAAUAAUGGUCACGUGUGGCCAGACUAGAGUACCGUACGAAUAAGCAUCGGCUAACUCCGUGCCAGCAGCAGCGGUAAUACGGGGGAUGCAAGGGUUAUCCGGAUUUAUUUGGUUUAAAGGGUGCGUAGGCUGGGAGGUAAGUCAGCGGUGAAAUGCCCCCGCUCAACGGGGUGAAGUGCCAUUGAUACUGCCUGGCUGGAGUGCUGAUGCGGUAGGAGGAAUGUGUGGUGUAGCGGUGAAAUGCAUAGAUAUCACGCAGAACACCGAUUGCGAAGGCAUCUCACGAAUCCGCGAUUGACGCUGAUGCACGAAAGCGUGGGUAUCAAACAGGAUUAGAUACCCUAGUAGUC